CUCACAGAAAGGAGAGUGGUGCCAAACUACAAGACAGCCAGCAUAUCCUCGCUCCUGAUAUCCUGAUGUAUGCAUUCCAUUUCAUUAUAUGACUCCAACAGGACACCUACAGAAAGGAGCUGUUAAAGCAGUGUCCUUCUACAAACAACAAGACAGCGAGCAUGUAAACAAGGCCUUGUUUGUCCACUUCCUGAAGGGGCUGAAGCAUGAUGGCCUUGACACCUCAGUCCUUGCUUCCAUUUACAGCUGUGUUGUGGAGCGCAUUCUCACAUCCUAUGGUCUGCAGCGGGUGGUGUCAUCGUGUUAUUUAUCAUCGUUUGUGUAAAUCUUACACAUCUUACACAAAAGUCUAAAAUAAUCUAAACUUCAUUUACUCUCCAUGUAUAGAUCAAGAUAGACUUGCAGAACAGGCUGCAGGGCAACAGUCUGAUAGCCUGCAUGAAAGCAUAAAUGGUCCGCACUUGUUAAAGAGUGCAAUUAUCAAAGGGCCCUUGAAUUGUGUUUUUUUAAACCAAGGAGGAUGGCUGUAGCGAUGCUGUCAGCUCUGCCAUAAGCAGUGACUGUGAUUACGUUUGCACAUUUUGAAAAUGUUUUUCUUUUGCAUUCUUUUCCACUUCAUUGUUGUAUAGUUUGUAUAUUGUUUGUUAAAGUUGCACACAUUAAUUCACUGUUCUUAUUUGUAAAAAAUUGUAUAGUGUGGUAUAGUUUGUAUGGUGGAGUCUUUAUUGUAUCGUACAAACAAGAACACCCCACCCCACCAUACCACUUUGACUAACCAAUUUUCUGCGGGGAACCCUGGAGGCUUUCUACAGGUAUUUUGUGAAACAUAGGGGUUUCUAUGGUAGUGGUUGCUAAGCUAUUGCUAGGGUAACUGAGAAGGUUGCUAUGGUGUUGCUACAGGAUAUAUAGUGGUUGCUAUGCAGGUUUAUAGGGUAAUCAUGUUGGUUGCUAGGUUGGUGAUAGAGUAACUGAGAAGGUUGCUAGGGUGUUGCUAGAGUAGAUAUGGUGGUGGCUAUACUAAAUUAAGUGGUUGCUAUGCUGGUUGCUAGGGUAAUUGAGAUGGUUGCAAUGGUGGUUGCUCGGUUGACAUUGUGGUGGUAGUUGUGAGGUUGUUGGUAGGGUAAUUAAUAUGGUUGCUAGGUUGUUGCUAUGGUUCUUAUGUUGGUUGCUAGGUUGUUGCUAGGGUAACUUAGAAGAAUUUUGUUCAGCUAAUACAUUUUGGCCUACACUAUUAAGGGACAGCUGAAUUGACCAUCUAAACCAUAUAUUUUCUUAAAGCCUAUAGUCUGUAGAUGUCAAUUAAUAUGAAUUAAGACAUGUCCAACAUUCCUACUUACUUUGGUGCAUCAUAUAGGCUUAAGCAAUACUGCUAUUUUUGCUCUUAGACUAUAAAAAUCCAUAAUCACUUUAAAAACGCUAAUUUUUUAGUUUUUGAAAGUCAAUUUCUUUAAAUCAUGCUUAAAAUUGUAACCAUAUUCUUUAUUGAGUUAUGUUAAUUGACUAUAAUACUAUUGUAUUGUCAUCCUUCUUUGGGACUUGAGUACUUCAAUAUCCCCUUCAUGUAUCAAUGUACAUUAAAGCAUCUUUGAUAGUAAAGGACUCUCCAUGUAAAUAA